rnacentral:tRNA from 1 species
GGUAAAAUGGCCGAGCUAGGUGAUGGGUUGUAAACCCAUGUACAGAGGUUUAAGUCCUUUUUUUACCA